AUGGCCUCCCUGCUCCUCUUCUGUGUGGCCUUUUGUCUCCUGGGAACAGGGUCCAUGGAUGCUGAUGUUAUCCAGACCCCAAGGAAUAGGAUCACAAAGACAGGAAAGAGGAUUAUGCUGGCAUGUUCUCAGACUAAGGGUCAUGAUGGAAUGUACUGGUAUCGACAAGACCCAGGACUGGGGCUACGGUUGAUCUAUUGCUCCUUUGAUGUCAAAAUAUAUAAACAAAAGAGAGAUCUCUGAUGGAUACAGUGUCUCUUGACAGGAACAGGCUAAAUUCUCCCUGUCCCUAGAGCCUGCCACCCCCAACCAGACAGCUUCUAGGUUACUUCAGUGCCACCAGUGAUUUC